rnacentral:rRNA from 1 species
CGUAGGGUGCGAGCGUUAAUCGGAAUUACUGGGCGUAAAGCGUGCGCAGGCGGUUUUGUAAGACAGAUGUGAAAUCCCCGGGCUCAACCUGGGACCUGCAUUUGUGACUGCAAGGCUAGAGUACGGUAGAGGAGGAUGGAAUUCCGCGUGUAGCAGUGAAAUGCGUAGAUAUGCGGAGGAACACCGAUGGCGAAGGCAAUCCCCUGGACCUGUACUGACGCUCAUGCACGAAAGCGUGGGGAGCAAACAGGAUUAGAUACCCUGGUAGUCCACGCCCUAAACGAUGUCAACUGGUUGUUGGGUCUUUACUGACUCAGUAACGAAGCUAACGCGUGAAGUUGACCGCCUGGGGAGUACGGCCGCAAGGUUG